rnacentral:lncRNA from 1 species
UUUUUUUUUUUUUUUUUGUCUUUAUAGUUGGGGUGACUGGCUAACAUCCCUUCAAAUCUAUCAAAGCAAUUUUUUUGUGUCCUCCUUCUUGGAAUUGUAUUUCCACAUGUGAGGCUGAGUGGUCUGUAUGGAAUUCAGAGUUCACCUUUGAUUUCAAAAUCUGCACCAGCAGCUCCUCUGAACAAAGGAGCAGCCUCAGAUAGACCCAGCUCACUUCCACCCCCAUCCGCCCCUGACCCUUUUCAGUUCCCAUCACUUCAGCUUAACAAGGUCGUUUUUCACUCUAAUGCCUUUAUCCAUUGGAGCAGAGAUUGCAUUUCCUAAGCUGUACAUUUUCUCCAUCUGAUUUUUUUUUUUUAAUUUAAAGAUCGUGAUCAUGGAACAAUGCUUUUCUUACUUUCAGUUCUCAGUACCCCAAAUCCUGGUUGUUGGCACAGAAACCGAGGGGGCUGAAGUCCGUAUUAAUUAACCGUAUCUUCCCUGAUAACGUGUACAUUCCUCCACUUUGGAAAUUCCUGCCCUUGCUGCUCCUCCAGAAGUUCUUGGACAGCUGGGCUCUUCUCUCUGCAGGCAGGGCAGCAGCCCGACCUAGUGGUUAGAGAGCCUGAUUCUGGACUCAGGCAGGAGUGGGUUUUUUAUCCUUCCCCCGCCACUGAUGAGCUGUGUGGUCUUGGUUGAAUUACUUUGCAGCACUAAACCAUAUCUGUAGAAUGAAAUUAACAACACUGACCUGGAACAAAGGCUUGAAAUGUAAAUGAGAACAAUAAAUCUAAAGAAUCUGGUGGUUUAUGAGCACUCAGUAUAUAUUACAUGUAAUGACCACUCUUCUGUUUUUAACCCACAAUGACCAUCUUUCGCUAAGUUGUUCAUGGAACCUCCUGAACUGAUUCCAAUAGUCAUGUGCUGGCUGGAAGAAAAGUUUAGUCUGUAGAAGCAAAAUGUACCAAAUAGGACUUUCUAAUGUGAAAGUGCUUUGUAAACCAGAGAACACUAUAUAAAUGUUAUUAUUAUAAUCAGGCGAACACAUGUUUUCUUGCCAAAAGGUAAUAGCCCAUCAUGAAAUGUAGCUGACGAGGUGUGGCACCAAUAUAAGUUAUGGUAACGUUGACCUGGAAGUGACAGAACGGUCCCAAAAGGAAAAUGAACUUGGGCUCAUGAAGCGAGCUUGCUUUUGGUUGCACAUCUGAGUCACACAGACCCUGCACUGCUCUGAUUCCCCAGAAGUGGGUCGAAGACUCACUUUUGGAAUAAGGGGUGCAAUCAGUUCCACCAGGACUACACAUGUGAAGAUGAGAAGAGCAGUCGAUUUCCAGGGAGACCUGGAGCAGUCUUUCUGAAACACAGUGACGGAAAUCCACCAAGAGUUCCAUCAAGGAAUUUUCCAUAGCACAGAGGAGCCUCCGUGUCCACAGAGGGACUUCAACAGCAAGACAUCUGCAUGGUUCCAGGUAUUCUUCCUUAUCCUGUGAAGCAGAGGGAGCCUGCACUGAGAUCUGAAAGGUCCACUUACCAUAUGAAUGAUGACCUGGAAGCUAACUCUCUGAACAAUCAAUUGUUUUGAAAUGGUAUUAGCAAAUAAAACAAAGACUGGGGAGCUCCUGCUGUGGCUCAGCGGGUUAUGAACCCCACUAGUAUCCAUGAGGAUGCGGGUUCAAUUCAUGGCUUUGCUCAGUGGGUUAAGGUUAUGGCAUUGAUGUGAGCUGUGGUGUAGUUUGCAGACUCGGCUUGGAUCCCGUGUUGUGGUGGCUGUGGUGUAGGCCAGCAGCUGCAACUCUGAUUCGACCCCUAGCCUGGGAACUUCAAUAUGCUGCAGGUGUGGCCCUUAAAAAUUAACAGUUGUAUGUGGCAAGAUAGGGAUGCGAAUUUCUGGAUUUCCAAAUCCCAGAGUCACAAAUAUUCAGGUUUACUCACUUGAGAGAGCCAAGGCAAAACUAUCUACCUGGUAUUAUGGCAUGCAUUCAUUUUUUUUUUUUUUUUAAGAUGAGGGAUAUUAGAGGGAGAUAGCCUGGCCAGAGGAAAGUACAUUGGCCCAACAAUCAAGGUCCUUAAAUCAAGUUCCAGUUUUGUCACCAACUAUGUGACUUUGAUGAGUAAUUGAAUCUCCAAGGGCUUUAACUCUGAAUCUGUACCCAGAGUUGAACUAGAUAUUCUUUCAGAUUUUUUGGAGCUUGACAUUUUUGUGAUAGAGCAGAUUAUCAAACCGUCAUAAAGUUCAAUAAUUUAAAGGUGAAUUAGAUUAUAUCUGUGCACACACUUUUUUCUCAACCUAAUUUUUAAAAAACAAUGUUUAUGUUAGUGGACCCUAACAUAUCAAAAAUGCUAGAGAUAAAUGAAUGCCAAAGAGGCUUCUCACAGACAAAUAAUUCCCUGAGAAGGCUCUACUUAGCAGUUUCUGUAACUUAAUAAAGGGAUCAUUUAUGGGUCUUUAGAAUUUAGUAAAGGAACUAUUACAAUAUCAAAAACGUUUUGGAGUUCCCUGGUGGCCUACUGGGUUAAGGAUCUGGUAUUGUCACUGCUGUGGCUCAGAUCAAACAUGCCUCUUCCUCUGUGAAGUCUUCCUUGAUUGCUCCCAGCUAGCGUCGUGUCUCCAUGCUGGGAAAUUCUCUAACAUGCUAACUCUCCUAUAACAGCUUUCAGCAUUACCUCAUGCUGUAGUUAUUGGUGUGUUUUUAAAAUUUCUCUUUCUGAAGUUCAGACUUUUUAGGUAUGGAGUCAAGGGUAAGGCAAUUUGCAUAAGAGCUGGCACUUUGAAGUGAGUUGUUAAAUAUGAACAUUUCUUUCUCUCACACCUCUUCCCAUCUCUCAGACAAAAAGAGCUCAGUGGGAUUUAUUUUUUGAUGGGGUAGGGGUAGCCUGCCAGCCUCUGGGGGCAAGUGCAUGUCUAGGUGUUGUCUCUGGGCCCGAUGUUCACCUCCCUGCAGCCCUCCCAGCCCUGACCCCCUUCUCACUCCUGCUGGUCCUCGUCUAUCCUGCCAGCUGGUCAAGGUCAGCUCAGACCCUGACUCUUUCCCACGCAUCCACGUGGCUGUUCCCAGGGCUGCCCCCUUCCUCUGACCUGUGUCAGCAUAUGUGGUUGGUUUUAGUGAAUCAACAUUUACUGUGCAUUGUGUCUGCUUUUAGGAAAUUUUCACUGGCGCAGUCUCCCUAGAUUUAGGGCAUGAGACCCACCUUAUACGUCUGGUACUUUUCUAUAUAUGUUCAUAUAUAGAAUUAAUCAAGGUUAACUUAGAAUAUUUGAGACUGGUGAUGCACUGCUUAUUGUUCUGAGGUAAUUUUCUGGUCUCCUGAAAUUCUUAUCCAAGUUCCCCAAAGCGACUUGGUUCUUCUUUGUCUAUAAAGCAUCUGUAAUUUCAUUUUCCCUUCAUUUCAGGUUCACUUCUCAGCAUCUGUUGAAUCCCUACAUAUAAGGCCCUGGGAUAUAAAGCACUAAUAGGAGAAAUAGGCAUGAAUUACCAUUUUCAGAGUUUCAUUCUCACUGCUUUUCCAUUGCUGCAUCCUGUCUAGAAAGGUGGACAGUUUACUUCUCUCAUGACAUAGGGCUGUACUUUCAUGAUGCCUGGACAUGAACUUUCCCACCAGAUCGUAAAUCUGCUCUAUGCGUCCGUCCCCUUCUAUCAGCAGAACAACCAAGGUUAUAAAGGAGCAGGAAGGCUUCCACGGUCACCUUUAUCAUGAAUUUUGAAAUAUUUGGCCCCAAAUUCUCCUUCUAGGAGAUUGUCCCCUUAGGGGAUUUUUUUAAAACUCAGACUUCUGUUUUUAUUUUUAUUUUUAAUUAAUUAAUUAUUUGCUUUUUGGCUGCCCCUCGGCAUAUGGAGCUCCUGGGCCAGGGAUCGAAUCUGAGCUGCAGCUGUGGCCUGUGCCACUGUGCUGUGCCGGGGAUUGAACUCAUGUCCCUGAUGCUGCAGAGACACUUCAAUCUCAUUGCUCCACAGAGGGAACUCUCCCUUGUAGGUUUUUGACAUGAAAAUAGUGACUUUAAAAGAAAUGAUAAAAGGAAAAUAUCUUUUGGAGUUCUCAUUGUGACUUGGUGGGUUAAGAACCCAAUAUUGUCUCUGCGAGGAUGUGGGUUCGAUCCCUGGCCUCAGUGAGUGAGUUAAGGAUUUAUUGCUGGCCACAAGCUUUGGCAAAAGUCAUAGAUGGGACUUGGAUCUGGCAUUGCUGUGGCUGUGGUGUAGGCCUGCAGCUGCAGCUCCUACUGGACCCCUAGCCCAGGAAUUUGGGACACAUAAGUGACAUUUACAUGUUAGUGUUUACUUGGGUAUGUAUGUUGCGGGGGUGUUGGCAAAGAAUAAGAAAACUUGGUCAUGAGUUUUUUGCUACUAAAUAAAACUAAGAAGAUGACAUUUUUUAGAUGUAAUUAUGAAGCUCAAUAAUUACCUGGAAAUCCUAGCUGCAAUAUCUUAUUCAGGCCUCUGGAAGUAUAGUUCUUUGCAUUUUUCUUCUUUUUCUCUGUUACACAAAGAAUUUGCUUGGUUCAAUUUUCUUCCUCUUUUAUCUUUCUUUUUUUUUUUCAUUUCUCUGCUACUACUUUCACACAUACACAUUUAUAAAGAACAUCAGUCUAUCUAUUGUCAUAGUUCAAUCAGUACCUUGGUAAUGUGGGCAUUCAUGGCCAAAGGAGUAAUGACUCAAACCUGAUUCUGUGAGUCCUUGAUAAUUGGGGACAAUCAUAAGCCCUGGAGACCAGGCCUUGCUUAGAAGUAUAAGAUGACAAAAGAAGUGGCUCAUAUUACUGCAAGUCAGUUUCAAGCAAGAAAAAUUGACCAUAUUUAAAAAUUUCAAGACUCACAUUCUUUUAUGGUGCAAUUUAGGGAGGAAAGUUAUGAUUUGAAAAAAU